rnacentral:rRNA from 1 species
GCUCUCUGAUGGCGAGUGGCGAACGGGUGAGUAUAAUGUGGGAGUCUGCCUUUUGGUUCGGAAUAACACGAGGAAACUUGUGCUAAUACCGGAUAAGCCCUUACGGGGAAAGUUUUAAUGCCAAAAGAUGAGCCCGCAUUUGAUUAGCUAGUUGGUGGGGGAAAAGCUCACCAAGGCGAUAAUCAAUAGCUGAUUUGAGAGGAUGAUCAGCCACACUGGGACUGAGACACGGCCCAGACUCC